CUCAGGUAGUUGGUAAGGUAAAGGCUUACCAAGCUUAAGACGGUUACCCGGCCUUAGCGGGUGACCGCCCACAUGGGGAUUGAGACACGGCCCUGACUCUUACGGGAGGCAGCAGUGGGGAAUAUUGGGCAAUGGGCGAAAGCCUGACCCAGCGAUGCCGCGUGAGGGAUGAAGGCCUUCGGGUUGUAAACCUCUGUCAGGAGGGACGAUGGGACUUUUGUCUUGACGGUACCUCCAGAGGAAGCCCCGGCUAACUCCGUGCCAGCAGCCGCGGUAAUACGGAGGGGGCAAGCGUUGCUCGGAAUUACUGGGCGUAAAGGGUCCGCAGGCUGUCAGGCAAGUUGGUUGUGAAAGCUCAAGGCUUAACCUUGGAAUUGCAUCCAAAACUGCCUGACUAGAGUCCAAGAGAGGUUGGCGGAAUUCCCGGUGUAGCGGUGAAAUGCAUAGAUAUCGGGAGGAACACCAGAGGCGAAGGCGGCCAACUGGCUUGGUACUGACGCUCAGGGACGAAAGCGUGGGUAGCAAACCGGAUUAGAUACCCUGGUAGUC
rnacentral:rRNA from 1 species